CGGAGCUUAGCGCAGUUGGUAGCGCACCGGAUUUGGGAUCCGGGGGUCGCCUGUUCGAGCCAGGCAGCUCCGACCA
rnacentral:tRNA from 1 species